rnacentral:rRNA from 1 species
GAUGAACGCUAGCGGCAGGCCUAAUACAUGCAAGUCGGACGGGAUUCAGGAGCUUGCUUCUGAUGAGAGUGGCGCACGGGUGCGUAACACGUAUGUAACCUACCUUUAUCAGGGGGAUAGCCUCUCGAAAGAGAGAUUAAGCCCGCAUAAAAUCACAGCACAGCAUUGUGUAAUGAUCAAAUAUUUAUAGGAUAAAGAUGGGCAAGCGGAACAUUAGCUAGAUGGCGGGGUAACGGCCCACCAUGGCGACGAUGUUUAGGGGAUCUGAGAGGAUGGCCCCCCACACUGGUACUGAGACACGGACCAGACUCCUACGGGAGGCAGCAGUAAGGAAUAUUGGUCAAUGGGCGGAAGCCUGAACCAGCCAUGCCGCGUGCAGGAAGACGGCCCUACGGGUUGUAAACUGCUUUUAUACGGGAAUAAACCCAGAUACGUGUAUCUGGCUGAAUGUACUGUAAGAAUAAGGAUCGGCUAACUCCGUG